GACGAACGCUGGCGGCGUGCCUAAUACAUGCAAGUUGAGCGCUGAAGGUUGGUACUUGUACCAACUGGAUGAGCAGCGAACGGGUGAGUAACGCGUGGGGAAUCUGCCUUUGAGCGGGGGGCAACAUUUGGAAACGAAUGCUAAUACCGCAUAAAAACUUUAAACACAAGUUUUAAGUUUGAAAGAUGCAAUUGCAUCACUCAAAGAUGAUCCCGCGUUGUAUUAGCUAGUUGGUGAGGUAAAGGCUCACCAAGGCGAUGAUACAUAGCCGACCUGAGAGGGUGAUCGGCCACAUUGGGACUGAGACACGGCCCAAACUCCUACGGGAGGCAGCAGUAGGGAAUCUUCGGCAAUGGACGAAAGUCUGACCGAGCAACGCCGCGUGAGUGAAGAAGGGUUUCGGAUCGUAAAACUCUGUUGGUAGAGAAGAACGUUGGUGAGAGUGGAAAGCUCAUCAAGUGACGGUAACUACCCAGAAAGGGACGGCUAACUACGUG
rnacentral:rRNA from 1 species